rnacentral:lncRNA from 1 species
GACACAAAUAAAUUGAGAUAACGGGACUAUAAUGUCCAGAAUUUUGAGGGAGUAUAAUGUCCAGAAUUUUCAAAUAAUCACGAGUGCCCGACACCCACUGUCCAAUACAACAUCCUUCUUGUCCAAUACAACAUCCUUCUUUUCGUAUUACAUUUUUUUAACGAUCUCAAUACUCAUUUUGAUGUUAUCUCCGUUGGUUUUUGCUCAUAUAGCUCUGGUUGUCGUUUGAUAAAACCUUUUCUUUUGCAACAACACACCAGCCUGUGUUUGAUAAAC